UACGAGUAGGCCCAGUCGACAGGAUACGGCGUAGAGGGUGGUUAGGAAAAAAUAAAAAACUAAAGUCGAAAGUCUUCAGUCUGUAAUACGUUCCCGAAGAUGUGAAGCCCCACCACGAAAGUGACUUUAACCUAUUCUGAAUCCACGAAAGCUGAGGCA
rnacentral:rRNA from 1 species